GUGGGGAAUAUUGGACAAUGGGCGAAAGCCUGAUCCAGCCAUGCCGCGUGUGUGAAGAAGGUCUUCGGAUUGUAAAGCACUUUAAGUUGGGAGGAAGAGUAGUAACCUAAUACGUUGCUACUUUGACGUUACCGACAGAAUAAGCACCGGCUAACUUCGUGCCAGCAGCCGCGGUAAUACGAAGGGUGCAAGCGUUAAUCGGAAUUACUGGGCGUAAAGCGCGCGUAGGUGGUUCAGUAGGUUGGAAGUGAAAUCCCCGGGCUCAACCUGGGAACUGCUUUCAAAACUGCUGAGCUAGAGUACGGUAGAGGGUGGUGGAAUUUCCUGUGUAGCGGUGAAAUGCGUAGAUAUAGGAAGGAACACCAGUGGCGAAGGCGACCACCUGGACUGAUACUGACACUGAGGUGCGAAAGCGUGGGGAGCAAACAGGAUUAGAAACCCUUUAGUCC
rnacentral:rRNA from 1 species